rnacentral:rRNA from 1 species
AAACUUUCAACAACGGAUCUCUUGGCUCUGGCAUCGAUGAAGAACGCAGCGAAAUGCGAUAAGUAAUGUGAAUUGCAGAAUUCAGUGAAUCAUCGAAUCUUUGAACGCACAUUGCGCCCCAGCAUUCUGGCGGGCAUGCCUGUUCGAGCGUCAUUU